CUGUUCUUUACAAAGUGAUCUAGUUUCACUGUUUGUAUUUGCUGUUCCAAAGCUCACAUUUUAUUGGGCAGAUGCCUUCAUCCCUGCAAAGUUUCAGGAGAAUACCUGUAAAUUACGGGCCUAAAUCAAUUUUUUGUAGAGAUCACGGGCUACAGGUGUUUGGGCUGCACAUAUUGUAGUUUGAGCUCUGUACAUAUUUCAAACUCAGUGUUUCUGCCUGUUAAAAAUCUUCUAACAUCCCCAUUUGCAUACAUUAAAACACAUCCUUGAGGUGAUAUGAUGUCAUUUCCAUGCUAGUGGCCCUUCAGCAAGUGUUGCCAUGGCAACCCUCCCUGUUAUUCGUGGUCCAACAGCCAACUCGCUUCUUUAGUCCAGCCUUCUCUCUCUCUGGUCCUCCAUCUCUUUCAUUUUCCCAAGCUCUGCUCAUCAAAAGACACUGCAAUAACACAUUCCAGGCUGCAACAAAGUAUCUGCAAGACACAAAGUGCAUACAUCCUCCCGUCAUGCCGGAAGUAACCCACCUUGCCUCCAUGAAGCCACAGCUGCCCACAGUGAUUCCCAGUUUCAGUACUAUCCCAUCGACCCACAGUGUCCUUGCCACCACCAUGCUGCUCCCAUGGGAGGACUUGCACAUGCAAGUGCACACCAUUCUGAUCGUGGUUAUUUUCUGUGUGGUCUGCUUACUGCUCCUGCUGGCCUUCUUAUAUGCUUUCUGCUUCCAUUGCUCCAUCAGCUCAUCACCUAAAGACUCCCAUAGAGCCAAUGGAUGCAGCCUAGACCGUGAGGACGCCACCUUUAAGUGCAGUUCAUCUGAUAACCAGUCAGUGGGGAACGUUGUCUGACUGGGACACCAAUCCAGGAUAAUUGAUAUUUUGAUUGUCUAUCAGUGUAUUUAUGGAUUAUGCUGUUAUUGGUUUAGUGGCAUGUAUGGAUGUGUGUUGCCGUACUGAAAAGCAGAUUGUAAUAACAGCUUGCUUAAACCAAAGUCUGAGCUUUGAUAUUUUCGUUCUACUCCCAAUUAAUUACAUAUUCAUUUGUGCCUGAUAUUGAGUUUUGCAGGCACACAUGACAAUCACAAGAAUACAUUUAUCAUUCAUGUUAAAGCUUAAUACAACGACUGUUUACCAGGUUUCCUCCUAACAUCACUGGAGUUUAAGUAAGAUGCAGGUACACAUGUUGUGCAAGUCAGAUCUGAGCACACAGAUACACAAUAAAAACAUAUCCAUAUAUACAUAUCCACAGAGAAAUGUGUUCAAUAAAAAAUUUUUAAA